rnacentral:rRNA from 1 species
GCAGCAGCCACGGUAAUACGGAGGGUGCAAGCGUUAAUCGGAAUUACUGGGCGUAAAGCGCACGCAGGCGGUCUGACAAGUCAGAUGUGAAAUCCCCGGGCUUAACCUGGGAACUGCAUUUGAAACUGUCAGGCUGGAGUCUUGUAGAGGGGGGUAGAAUUCCAGGUGUAGCGGUGAAAUGCGUAGAGAUCUGGAGGAAUACCGGUGGCGAAGGCGGCCCCCUGGACAAAGACUGACGCUCAGGUGCGAAAGCGUGGGGAGCAAACAGGAUUAGAUACCCGCGUAGUCCCUGUCUCUUAUAC